CUACGAGAGGCUCCAGUGAGGAAUAUUGCACAAUGGGGGGAACCCUGAUGCAGCAACGCCGCGUGGAGGAUGACGCAUUUCGGUGUGUAAACUCCUUUUAUAUGUCAAGAAAAUGACGGUAGCAUAUGAAUAAGCACCGGCUAACUCCGUGCCAGCAGCCGCGGUAAUACGGAGGGUGCAAGCGUUACUCGGAAUCACUGGGCGUAAAGGACGCGUAGGCGGGUUGGAAAGUCAGGUGUGAAAUCCUACAGCUUAACUGUAGAACUGCACUUGAAACUUCUAAUCUAGAGUAUGGGAGGGGGAGAUGGAAUUAGUGGUGUAGGGGUAAAAUCCGUAGAUAUCACUAGGAAUACCUAAAGCGAAGGCGAUCUCCUGGAACAUUACUGACGCUAAGGCGUGAAAGCGUGGGGAGCAAACAGGAGUAGAUACCCCUGUAGUC
rnacentral:rRNA from 1 species